CCUGUGGCCUGUGUUACGUGUGCACUGUAGGUUUUGUUCAGUAUGUUGAAGACUGACCUAGGGAGGGUAAAGAAAGCUGACCACUAUGGGAGAACACUGUCUUGGACGUCUGGCCUGCAUUCUGGGCUCCGUUCUCUUCUUCAUCAUCAGCCUGAUCUUCAAUGGACUGGCUGUAGUUGGAAUAUCCCCCUUCACCAGCACCACAGCCAACGUGUCGGCAGUGUUUGACACACAGGCAACCCCCAUAGGAUGGACCUUUAACAUCUGGGCCCUCAUCUACAUCUUUCUGAUCGGGAUGAAUGUCUACAUCAUCGCUGGCCUGUGCAGAAUGAACAGCUAUGGGUAUGUGUACUGCAGCCCCCCAGUGCUGCCCUAUGGCUUCUUCAUCAGCUGGUGCAUCAACAUGGGCUUCAACAUCGGAUGGCUCAUUCUCUGGGACCAAGGGUCCAUGCUUGCCGCAUUGAUGUUCCUCCUGGUGGUCAUUGUGACCAACUACGCCAUGAUGGCCUUCUCUUGCCACGGGCUCCAUGUCUACGGAGCGUGGCUCAACAAGUACCACCGAGUGGACCUCUGGCUGCUCCGCAUCCUUGUCCAGAACGGCCUGGGUCUGUACACCACGUGGACCACCAUCGCCACUCUGAUCAACCUGAGCAUCGUCCUGACCUACGACGUCCACCUGACCCCGCUGGACGCCGCCACCGUGGCCUAUGCCCUGCUGACCGCAGUGCUACUGGGCUGGUUCAUAUUGGAGAACUUUGUCAUCGAUAAACACAUGCGCUACACGCUGACCAUCUACCCCGUGGUGAUCUGGGCCCUGUCAGGGAACCUUGUGAAGAACUUUGAUGCGACAUCCCCUAACCGCAACGGUGUCUUUAUUGCGGUGCUGCUGGCUGUAGCCUGUUUCCUGUUCGCCACGAGGAUCAUUCUGGUCAUCUGGAGAAGCAUCCAACACCCGCUGUAUGAAGACGUGGAUCCAGCGGACAUGCAGCCCAUGGAGGCAGCGGCAAGACAGAAGAAGGCGCUUCGUUGAAGUGCUCGUUAUUUAAAUAUGGGACGAUAUUAUGUAUCGGAUGAUAUUUGUUGGCAGCACAUUUUGUCUUGUGUUUAUGGUAGAUCAAUAAAUCUAUAUCUGAUAAAUUAUAAAAUGCAUUGUAGUAUAAUUUGCACAAAAGUAGGCACCAUUAUUUGAUAUAAAUUGAAAACUGAUUUUCUGAUAUUUUAUGGCCCUUUCAUGAUGGUCAAAAAAACAGAGAUAAGAAAACUGAUAGAAAACAGUAAAAAUCCCUUUGAAGAUUUUUUAUUAAUCUACGAUUCAAUCGCAUGCCUAACCCCUUUAAGUUGAUUGUUGUAUUGUAGUUGUGUUGAAUAUAAAUGGAACAUGUAAAUAAAUUAAAUCAACCAAUAAUUUCAGAAAUUAACUAAUUUAAUCAAAAUAAUGUAUACACCUUACUGGAUCAAUAGUAUUUUGUUUUUUAAAACACAAAUUCCAAGAACAUGUUUUUUUUGUAAAUGGCAAUGAUUAACUUCCAAUGUAGCCCUGUAGAUGGGCAUAGUGCUCCACUUCAUUUUUUAAUAUUGAUAGGCCUACUGAAAGAUACAUUUAUACAUUAUAGCCAUUUGAUUUGUCGAUUUAGUAAACUUUGAAAAGUACACAAUUUCAAGGAACGGAUAGUAACAUAAAACCUGAUUAAAAACAGACUGGAGCCUGUAGUUCGCCUGACCACUAGGGGGCAGAGAACCAACCGGAGGUUCUUAACUCCUGACCCUUCAUUCACACUUCAUGCGCCCGUCGACGGAUGACCGAGGGCUUGUCUGACGUAUAGGGGACUAGUCUUUUGCCGCUUUGAAAAAAGCUCUGAGGUUCGGAAGCUCUUGCGUGUCUUUACGUAAACCUUCCCUUCUUCCGAAAUAAGAGUGUUCAGGAAACGCCCUUCAGAAGUUCGUAGGCUGUGCCAUAAAACCACAACUGCAGGGACCUCUUUGCGUUUCUUGGCUUUAAUCAGAAUAAUCAGUUAUUAGAACUGCUUGCGAUGGUUGAACAUGAGCGAGAAUUUAUCAGGUGAUGGUUAUAAUUGUAAACUAUAAUUUAUCGUAAUGCAAAUAUUUGAAUGGGUGUUAAAGGCCCACUAUGCAACUUUUUUAGCCAAAAUUACAUUAAUUAUGCUGGUUGAGAGUUAUUCUGAUGGUUCUGCAACCAUUCCUGGGUCGUUUGGUGGGUGUGUCAUUGCCCCAUGUCACCUCUCCAAGGAAAAAGCGCAUAUGCAACUUGCUCUGUUCGGACCGACACAAUCCGGAUGUGACGCAACGGAAGUAUCCAAUCGCGCCUCGAAAAUGUAGUCAGAUUGUAGUUUCGAAAAUUCUUUACGGCACAGACACACACCCAAACAUGGCACCGGCUAGAUAUAAACAGCCAGUUGCGAGGCAAUUGUUGCAUUCAUCAUGGAUCAAUCGACUGAUAAGGGACCCAAGAGGCGACUGUCGGUGGAACAAAAGAAGAAUGGACCAGAAAAGAGAUCAGACACGAGUGAAAGGGGAACUAUGCAACUUUUUUGGCUUGAUUUACCUUAAUAUAACAGGCUAAGAGUCAUUGCGAUGGUUCUAUUAUACAUUUUUGUUCGAUUGUUCGUUGUUUCGACUCCCCCUUGCGCAUCUUGGCGGAGAAAAGGAAUAUGUUUCUGCCGGCGACCCGCCGCCCACUCUCGCGGGAGGCUCGGGUCUCGUGAAGUAACGAAUUGCUUUACGGCACAGACCCCCAAACACGGAACCGGCUCGAUAUAAACACAAGUAACUAAGGGAUUGUUACAUUCAUCAUAGAUCAGCCGACUAAAAAGAGACAGAGAAACCCAAUGUCGGAGGAACAGAAGAAGAGAAAAGGGAGAAGGACCGACAGAGAGGCCAGACACGAGUAAACGUUGGUCAAGCUUUUCAGGAAUAGCGUGAACUGAAAGAAAAAGAAGACUGCAAAUCAGACGCCGACUUGGCCGUGUUGCUUUUGAAAUUGAAAGUUUCCUUGGGUGAACUUUGUCUUCGUGGUAUUCUUGAUGUUGAUAGUCUCUGCACAAAUGUGUUUGCUCAACCAUUUUGUUGUGAGCCCUGUAAAAAUUGUAUUCUCGACCGUUUUGUUGUGUGCCCUGUAUGUUUCUAGCUUGCUUGGUUGAAAGAAGUGCAUGGGGAAGGGUCGUCAACGAGUUGUUACGACAGUGUUGUAAAAUAUCUACUACGAAGCUGUAGGGGGCGCUGUGUAGAGAAAUGUGCGUGCCAAAACCAAGAAAACAGCGAAGAAAUGCCCGAAGUUGCAUAGUGGGCCUUUAAGUUUACCCCCUAGUGCUUGCUGCAAGUUAACAUUAGUCUCAAAUAAAAAAGUGGCAGCCAUUGUUGUGACGUGAUCUCAGAGGACUCGGUACAUCCGCACGAAACUCCGAGCGAAAACUCAGACCCAACAGAGUGUUCAAAGCACCUUCCUCCGAGUUUAAACGGGAAAUCCGGUGUAAAAUGGAUCAGGGAUAUUUUUUGUAUGAUAUCAAGUUUGGAAUGUUCGUUUGGGAGCAAAAAAGCGCGUAUAGACGGAUUCUUACGUUGGCUGUUUUUAGCAGAUUCUACCAAAACGCUAUAAACUUGGAACGAUGGGGGUAUUUGUUAUGGUAAAAACUAAGGCGCUAUUUUAAACCAUUUAAAAGGCUAGAAGUAGCCCGACA
rnacentral:lncRNA from 1 species